GACGAACGCUGGCGGCGUGCUUAACACAUGCAAGUCGAACGGAAAGGUCCUGCUUUUGUGGGGUGCUCGAGUGGCGAACGGGGGAGUAACACGUGAGUAACCUGCCCUUGACUUUGGGAUAACUUCAGGAAACUGGGGCGAAUACCGGAUAGGAGCUCCUGCUGCAUGGUGGGGGUUGGAAAGUUUCGGCGGUUGGGGAUGGACUCGCGGCUUAUCAGCUUGUUGGUGGGGUAGUGGCUUACCAAGGCUUUGACGGGUAGCCGGCCUGAGAGGGUGACCGGCCACAUUGGGACUGAGAUACGGCCCAGACUCCUACGGGAGGCAGCAGUGGGGAAUAUUGCACAAUGGGCGGACGCCUGAUGCAGCAACGCCGCGUGCGGGAUGACGGCCUUCGGGUUGUAAACCGAUUUCGCCUGUGACGAAGCGUGAGUGACGGUAAUGGGUAAAGAAGCACCGGCUAACUACGUG
rnacentral:rRNA from 1 species